GGGUCAGUAGGUUGGUCGUGCCACCGGUACGUACUGGUCUCACUGAUUCCUCCUUCCUGAAGAACCGUAAUGCCAUUAAUUUGGUGUUGCGGGGAAACAGGACUGUUACUUUGAAAAAAUUAGAGUGUUUAAAGCAGGCUAACGCUUGAAUACAUUAGCAUGGAAUAAUGAAAUAGGACGAUCAAUCCUAUUUUGUUGGUUUCUAGGAUUGACGUA
rnacentral:rRNA from 1 species